AUCAAGCUGACGAGUUCAAAAUAGGAGGAAACGCGCAUCAAACUAGAU
rnacentral:hammerhead_ribozyme from 1 species